GGAGAGAUCAGGCAUGACUCCUCCUGAGAGCCACGAUGGAUCUUGCCUCCACAAGCUACAUAUUAUGAGCAAAAAUCAUCGUCACAAAUCCGAUUCCUUCCUCCUCCGCACGCACGAAGCCGCCGCCGCUGCUUCUCACCUCGCCGCUAGAUCGGAAUCGAAGUUGUUGCUCAAAUCAAGAGAGAGAGAGAGAGAGAGAGAGAGAGAGAGAUCGGAUCGAGAUUGAGAUGCCACGAGGAGCGCUGUCGGAGAUGCCAGGCCGUUGCCUUAGGCGGAAGAGCCGCCGGCAAGGAAUCCACGUCGGGUGGCUAUCCGUGGCCUCUCAAGCCCUCUCUUACUCCCCCCUCCCCCACCUCCCACCGCCCAAGCGCCGUCACCUCACCUUCCACAGGCCCCCUCGACCCUCGGCUAGACGCCACGGCCGGGUCGCCACCCCCUCCCACCGCGAGGAAGACGACGGCAGAGCAAGGCGGCAGCGCUAGGCUGUACGUCGAGCCUCCCUCAGUGGCCUCCGUCCUCCAUACCGAUGCUCCGUCCCCCGUUUCAAUCGGCUCUGCUGCAACUUCGCCUGACGACCGGUGCUCUGCCUUCACCUGCGCUGCUUCGGUCUAGAUCGAUACGGCCCUGAGCUCCACUCCAUGGCCCUCUUCUGCCAAACCCCGUACAAUCUCCUCAAGCCAACUUGCUUGUCAAUGAGCCUAGCACCGCUAGCAAUUCGCAUGGUCUUUCUCUCCUGAAGAUAUGAGUUAACUUUCUGAAGCUAUGCAUACGACAUCAAGUAUUACUUGGAGUUAUGAGGAGCCCAGAAAACGAUUGGCAAUGCAGGAGGGUUAUUCAGUGACUGUUGGUCCCUAAUUUGCUUAUAUAAUAAGGUGGCAUAAUGGGUAUUGUUAUUCCACAACUUCCUCCACAGAACUUACGCUAUUUCUGAAUCCUGCCAGACUUGAUACUGCAGACUGCAGGUGUGAUUAGUCAUUAGUGUGUUUUCAGCUCUGCAUAUUAUAUGGGCCCAGUUUAAUAUAUUGUAAAUGAUUGGCGAGUGAAUUCCUUAAGCUGGCUGGGCGUACUGAAUUUGAACAGGCCUACUAUGCACUAAGAGUCUCAAUACAAAAAUUAUAUGAACAAGGUUAAUAUAUCGUAAUAUUGGCAUGUGGAUAAAAAAUAUUGGAUUUAUAAACUCCAUCUGUUUAAACAAUUUUAACUACUGCCAAUAUUGGUAUUUAUCGCAGGGAAAUGAAUCUUCUAUUGUAUAUUCGAUGAGUCUUAACAUGCAGUAGUCGUGUAACUGAUUUGCAUCUUCGUAAGUUUUUAGGUUUAUGAGUUUUUCCGACAAUUUUAUUUUUAGCCACAUUUUGGACUUUGACAACUUGCCACAAAAUACAUAAUUUUUCCAUCAGAUUAAGAUAGCAAAGCAUGUAUUCAAACUUUUCCUGUUUAAAUUACGUUAUGCUUAUUUUUUUAGUGUUUGGGUAGAUAACAACACACCCCACAAAAAAAGAUAACAAUACUGAUGUUUACUUAUUUUUCUUUGUAAGAUAAACAUGAUUCUUAAUACUGAGUUGAUUCUUCUAUUUUCAGAGCAAAUAAUAAUUUGCAACCGAUCAAUUGUUUAUUAAUUUAAUAAGAUUUACAACUUCUGCAUGUUAUGAGAAGAUUGUGGAUAAUAUGCUUUUAGUCUUCAUUUUAGCUCAGCCACCUCCGUUCUGAUGCAGACCAAUCUUGCCACGCCCCAACCUCUCCCCUCCCAACCUCGUCGUGCCCCCCACACAUAACGGACUUUGACUCGAAGAAGAGUCCCUGUGAUGUGCGUCUUUGAGUCGUGUCUGAUUAGCAGAUCUUCAGGGGCACGGGUCCAGACAUUGCCGCGCCAUAGAAAGGAACCACUCGACCGGAGGCAAAUACAUUGCAUCACAAGUUGCUCCCGACAUCGCCGUGCCGCAAGUUCCCAACAUCAGCCACCGUAGCACAGGUUCGUUCCUCCCUAAAUUUUCUUUCACAUACGACCAAAUUGAUAAUCGAGGAGAGGGAGAGAUGGCGCCGCCAGCGAGUGGAUACAAGGGUGGCGCUACUGCGUGGCUGAAGACGGGAAGGCACUCGAAGGGAUGAGAUCCUGCUUUAGGGGAGAGAGCACAUGGCAAGCUUGGCGCUGCUGCUUGAGGGAGAGAGAUAGGCAAGGAAGAGAGCAGAGAGAUGAGGGAUAGAGAGAGCAGAGAGAGAGGGGCGCUGAUUGCUGCAAAUUUAGAUAGAUGUAUGGUGCUUCUUGUAUAAUGUAUGUUGCUACUGAUUGAUGCACAUUUAGAUAGAGAACAGAGAUAUAGCUUGCUACACUCCCAUCGAUCAAUCUAUAUGUAAUAAUAAAUAGUACCCAAUUCACAUCCAGAAAAUUUGCAUCUGUCAUCAAGGAAAAAGACAUUCCUAAGCCCUUUGGGUUCUAAUUGCAAGGUUAAAUAAUUAUUCUAACUCUCUGAAAUCUACCAAAGCUAGGCAGAUAGAUAGACUCCUUUCCCGCUGCUAAGGGAGAGCAAGAAACUAAAUCAAAUGAUUGUUUUUUUUCACCAGCGCCCUUUUUUGCGGGUACUGGCGUCCGGCGCAUGCAUACAACCAUUCCUUCUUCUCCUCGGAACGUCAGGUCGGUCGGAAAGAAAGCGCGGUGUAGCUGGCAUCAGCAUCUCUUGUUAGGUUCGCACGCACAAGGGUGGUGGGUAGGUCUCUUUACGUGUCCCGCGAGGCAAGGAAUUCUUCGACCAAUGAUAUCAUGGUAUCAGAGUCGCCGAUCGAGAUUUCUCAUGGCUACCCAUUACUCUGCAGUUAUUUGGCUCAUCAUUGUCCACAAGUUUCCGACAUACCUCUAUACAAUCUCACCGCUCUACCAACUCCGCAGGCCACCCAUACUCCAUACGCCGUCGUACAAUCUCGGCGUUCUACCAACAUCGCUGGACCACUGUGCUCCAGCAGAGGUACGCCUAUCUCAUGCCAAUCUAAAGACGGUUAUGUCAUUUCUAUUAGAGUAGUCAUUAUGUUAUACGACUUCUAGUCCAAGUCAGUUUUGUACCCCUACCCCAAGUCGGUUUGUACCCUCUUAUAUACUCUUGUAUGCCGCACCAAAUCAUCAAUAAGCAACAGUUUUAUUCA